rnacentral:rRNA from 1 species
GGCUACAUCACGUUGAAACACCGGUUCUCGUACAAUCACCGAAGUUAAGCAAAGUCGAGUCUCGUCAGUACCUAGAUGGGUGACUGCUUAAGAAUACCAGGUGUUGCAAG